UAAGAUUUAGGAUAAAAAGUCUCUGUUAUUGUCAGUAACAAGGUUCUCAGUCAGAAAUCUUAG
rnacentral:tRNA from 1 species